UACGUAGGGUGCGAGCGUUGUCCGGAAUUAUUGGGCGUAAAGGGCUCGUAGGCGGUUUGUCGCGUCGGGCGUGAAAACCCAGGGCUUAACCCUGGGCUGGCUUUCGAUACGGGCAGACUAGAGGUAUGCAGGGGAGAACGGAAUUCCUGGUGUAGCAGUGAAAUGCGUAGAGAUCAUGAGGAAGACCAGUGGCGAAGGCGGGUCUCUGGACAGUUCCUGACGCUGAGGCACGAAGGCCAGGGGAGCAAACGGG
rnacentral:rRNA from 1 species